CAGCAAUCAAGAAGUCCUUGCCAUAAAUAAAUAAAAAUUUGUGAAUAUUUUAAUGAAGUAUUUUAUAAGUUUUCGUAAACAACAAACCAAAAGCAUACGGUAGUCAUCUAUCGGUGCAAGCCCAUUAAGGGUUGAGGGUCAACAAAAUAUUGACAAAGCCGAAUGUAGAAGCGAAAAUGAGCCCUAGAUAAGGCCUGUUUUAAAUUUGAGGCCCAUCUUAGCCGAGAGUUACACCGACUGAGGCAGGAAAAAAAUGGAACUCGCUACAAUAAACACCGGAGGAAGGGUCUUUGGAUUGUCCUGAGAUGGUACGCAAUUUUCCGGUCAAUAAGGCGAUCCCCAGUAUGCUUCUUCACUAAGAUGAGGUCUGAGCUGAUUGGGUAAUUGUGGAACACGGCAAACCCCCUCCCCCCACCCCGGCUUCCUUCGAAUACAAACUGAGAAUUCGAGUUCCAAUCAGGAAUUAAAUGAAAAAAGAAAAGAAAGAAAACCCACCAUUGCAAUGGCCAUGCAUGUUUCUUUCAAGCAUUCACUGAGGAAGAAUGAGCCUGCAAAAACUUGUAACAAUCUAACACUGUCAAAAAUAAAAUUCAAUGGUACAAACAAACGUUGCUGUAAUUUUUUUUUUUUUUGUGAAAACUGCUGUAAUUAUUUUGGGCAAAUUUAAAUUAGAAAACUGUAAGCCUCUGAUGAACUCAAGAGCCCCGUAUACGCUUUCAACUCUCUUUGCGUCGUGGUGUUUCACCAGGGGAAGGAGGUACACCGAAAACCCAGUCUAGAACAUUAAGGUACUUGGACCGGAACACUUCCCUUUCCUGUGCAUAACAGUGCAUGAUUAUAGCUGUUGAGAUACUGAAGAUCAACACAUCGGCUCUCUUCAGAUUCUUUGCCUGCGGCAAAUAUUCAACAUCGGCCAUACAUGUAAAGAAGCUUUCAAUUGCUCGUGCAAGGCAGUAGAGUGAUAUCUCAAUCCGCCUGCUUUUCUUCUCUAUUGCCAGGGCUAGGCCAGUAGGAAACUGAGCAAGACACCAAGUGAUACUUCAAAACAUAAUCAAUUAUAUUUCUCUCUACUAAUAUGAAUUGUUGAAGUUCCUAUACCGUCCCCAUUGCCACCAUUGGAAUGUUACAUCUCCUGAAGAUUCUAAAGAGCACACAUGUCCACAUCCUGAUGACCAUCCAUAGGAAUUUUUCAUUAAACAUUAUUAAAAUUUAUGAAAACCAACAAUUAUUUUUAGUUUGAGAUUUCUCCUUGCUCUGUUUCCAUCAUGCCUUUAAAAGAAAAAUGGCUAUAGUUAGGUCAUUUAUGUCCACCUGUUCAAGUUGAAUAGGAUGUAAACUACCAGAAUAAAAGCACAUGGCCUAGUUCUGAAUCACGAUAAGUAUACACGACAAUGACUUCAUUAAUUGCUUCUAUGUGCAUCAAGUCAGUGCAUGUGUGAUGUUAAUGCACCUUAACAAUUGCACACAGAACAUAAAUAACCUGAUGCGCAAAAAUUCUCCUAGUCAAAAAGGGAAACAUCAUCAAGAACUGGGAAAAAUAUGAUGAAUGGACCUUUUAAAAAGAAAAAACAUCUAUGGUUUCUCGGCAAAAAGUAGUAUACUAAAGGAAUGAGCACCGACCAGGCAGAUGAGCAAUAUGUGG
rnacentral:misc_RNA from 1 species